rnacentral:rRNA from 1 species
AUUAAACGCUGGCGGCAUGCCUUACACAUGCAAGUCGAACGGCAGCACGGGGGCAACCCUGGUGGCGAGUGGCGAACGGGUGAGUAAGGCAUCGGAACGUGCCCUGGAGUGGGGGAUAACGUAGCGAAAGUUACGCUAAUACCGCAUAUUCUGUGAGCAGGAAAGCAGGGGAUCGCAAGACCUUGCGCUCUGGGAGCGGCCGAUGUCGGAUUAGCUAGUUGGUGGGGUAAAGGCCUACCAAGGCGACGAUCCGUAGCGGGUCUGAGAGGAUGAUCCGCCACACUGGGACUGAGACACGGCCCAGACUCCUACGGGAGGCAGCAGUGGGGAAUUUUGGACAAUGGGCGAAAGCCUGAUCCAGCCAUGCCGCGUGAGUGAAGAAGGCCUUCGGGUUGUAAAGG